rnacentral:rRNA from 1 species
ACGCUCACCAUCGCGAC